rnacentral:tmRNA from 1 species
GGGGGCGUAAAGGUUUCGACAGGGUUGUUCGGUGGUACGGUAAGCGAGUCGUGAUUUCGGGGGACACGAUAAAAACCCGAGCGUAAAUAUAAACGCUAAUAACAGAACUAAUUUAGUAGCUGCUUAAUAGCACCUACCAUCGGCCUGAGCUGACUGUGGGUUCAGAUAACCGGUGUCAAAUUACACAGUGCACGUCAGCGGUGUAAGCUUUGCCACCGCGAUGAAAAAUGAAGCUACCUGAUGCGUAAGCGUGCCGAUGUGCAAGCGCAAAAGGGAAUCUUAAAUUAUCGGCUACGCUCGUAGAAAACCAUAUUUUCGCUUCUUUGGACAGGGGUUCGACUCCCCUCGCCUCCACCA